UACGGAGGAUGCGAGCGUUAUCCGGAUUUAUUGGGUUUAAAGGGUGCGUAGGCGGCCGAGUAAGUCAGCGGUGAAAUUUUGCAGCUCAACUGUAAAAGUGCCUUCGAAACUGGUUUCCUUGAGUGUGGAUGAAGUAGGCGGAAUUUGUGGUGUAGCGGUGAAAUGCAUAGAUAUCACGAGGAACUCCGAUUGCGCAGGCAGCUUACUAAACUACUACUGACGCUCAGGCACGAAGGCGUGGGGAUCAAACAGGAUUAGAUACCCU
rnacentral:rRNA from 1 species